GGCGCAUGAGAGAACGGACCUGACGGUGAGGGGCGAAGGCUAGGCGAGCGAACGGGAUUAGAUACCCCGGUAGUCCUAGCUGUAAAGGAUGCGGGCCAGGUGUCUGGUGUUCCUCGAGAGCACCAGGUGCCGGAGAGAAGUCGUUAAGCCCGCCGCCUGGGAAGUACGGUCGCAAGGCUGAAACUUAAAGAAAUUGGCGGGGGAGCACCACAAGGGGUGGGACCUGCGGUUCAAUCGGAUUCAACGCCGAAAAACUCACCAGGGGCGACAGCUGGAUGAAGGCCAGGCUGACGACCUUGCCGGACUAGCUGAGAGGUGGUGCAUGGCCAUCGUCAGCUCGUACCGUGAGGCGUCCUGUCAAGUCAGGCAACGAGCGAGAUCCUCGCCCUUAGUUGCCACAGUGGAAAGCUGGGCACUAUAAGGGGACCGCUGGCGCUAAGCCAGAGGAAGGAGAGGGCGACGGUAGGUCCGUAUGCCCCGAAUCCCCUGGGCCACACGCGGGUCACAAUGCGUAGGACAAUGGGUUGCGACCUCGUAAGAGGAAGCUAAUCCCCUAAACCUACGCUCGGUUCGGAUCGAGGGCUGCAACUCGCCCUCGUGAAGCUGGAAUCCCUAGUAAUCGCGCGCCAACACCGCGCGGUGAAUACGUCCCUGCUCCUUGUACACACCGCCCAAGGGCGAA
rnacentral:rRNA from 1 species